CUACGGGAGGCAGCAGUAGGGAAUCUUCCACAAUGGACGAAAGUCUGAUGGAGCAACGCCGCGUGAGCGAUGAAGGCCUUCGGGUCGUAAAGCUCUGUUGUUAGGGAAGAACAAGUACCGGAGUAACUGCCGGUACCUUGACGGUACCUAACCAGAAAGCCACGGCUAACUACGUGCCAGCAGCCGCGGUAAUACGUAGGUGGCAAGCGUUGUCCGGAAUUAUUGGGCGUAAAGCGCGCGCAGGCGGUCCUUUAAGUCUGAUGUGAAAGCCCACGGCUCAACCGUGGAGGGUCAUUGGAAACUGGGGGACUUGAGUGCAGAAGAGGAAAGCGGAAUUCCACGUGUAGCGGUGAAAUGCGUAGAGAUGUGGAGGAACACCAGUGGCGAAGGCGGCUUUCUGGUCUGUAACUGACGCUGAGGCGCGAAAGCGUGGGGAGCAAACAGGAUUAGAUACCCUGGUAGUCCACGCCGUAAACGAUGAGUGCUAAGUGUUAGGGGGUUUCCGCCCCUUAGUGCUGCAGCUAACGCAUUAAGCACUCCGCCUGGGGAGUACGGCCGCAAGGCUGAAACUCAAAGGAAUUGACGG
rnacentral:rRNA from 1 species